UACGUAGGGGGCAAGCGUUAUCCGGAUUUACUGGGUGUAAAGGGAGCGUAGACGGCGAUGCAAGCCAGAUGUGAAAGCCCGGGGCUCAACCCCGGGACUGCAUUUGGAACUGUAUAGCUAGAGUGUCGGAGAGGCAGGCGGAAUUCCUAGUGUAGCGGUGAAAUGCGUAGAUAUUAGAAGGAACACCAGUGGCGAAGGCGGCCUGCUGGACGAUGACUGACGUUGAGGCUCGAAAGCGUGGGGAGCAAACAGG
rnacentral:rRNA from 1 species